AUUGAACGCUGGCGGCAGGCCUAACACAUGCAAGUCGAGCGAGCGGCGGACGGGUGAGUAAUGUAUGGGGAUCUGCCCGAUGGAGGGGGAUAACUACUGGAAACGGUGGCUAAUACCGCAUACUAUCGGAUGAACCCAUAUGGGCUUAGCUAGUAGGUGGGGUAAAGGCUCACCUAGGCGACGAUCCCUAGCUGGGCUGAGAGGAUGAGCAGCCACACUGGGACUGAGACACGGCCCAGACUCAUACGGGAGGCAGCAGUGGGGAAUAUUGCACAAUGGGCGCAAGCCGGAUGCAGCCAUGCCGCGUGUAUGAAGAAGGCCUUAGGGUUGUAAAGUACUUUCAGCGGGGAGGCGUUACCCGCAGAAGAAGCACCGGCUAACUCCGUGCCAGCCGCCGCGGUAAUAC
rnacentral:rRNA from 1 species